rnacentral:sRNA from 1 species
GCCAGGUGCAGUGGUACGCACCUGUAAUUCCAGUGGCUUGGGAGGCUGAGGCAGGAGGAUCAUGAGUUCAAAGCCAGUCUCAGCAAUGCCAAGGCGCUAAACAACUCAGUGAGACCCUGUCUCUA